AAAUACCACCCUUUAAUGUUUGAUGUUCUAACGUGGACCCGUGAUCCGGGUUGCGGACAGUGUCUGGUGGGUAGUUUGACUGGGGCGGUCUCCUCCUAAAGAGUAACGGAGGAGCACGAAGGUUGGCUAAUCCUGGUCGGACAUCAGGAGGUUAGUGCAAUGGCAUAAGCCAGCUUGACUGCGAGCGUGACGGCGCGAGCAGGUGCGAAAGCAGGUCAUAGUGAUCCGGUGGUUCUGAAUGGAAGGGCCAUCGCUCAACGGAUAAAAGGUACUCCGGGGAUAACAGGCUGAUACCGCCCAAGAGUUCAUAUCGACGGCGGUGUUUGGCACCUCGAUGUCGGCUCAUCACAUCCUGGGGCUGAAGUAGGUCCCAAGGGUAUGGCUGUUCGCCAUUUAAAGUGGUACGCGAGCUGGGUUUAGAACGUCGUGAGACAGUUCGGUCCCUAUCUGCCGUGGGCGCUGGAGAACUGAGGGGGGCUGCUCCUAGUACGAGAGGACCGGAGUGGACGCAUCACUGGUGUUCGGGUUGUCAUGCCAAUGGCACUGCCCGGUAGCUAAAUGCGGAAGAGAUAAGUGCUGAAAGCAUCUAAGCACGAAACUUGCC
rnacentral:rRNA from 1 species